UACGUAGGGUGCGAGCGUUGUCCGGAAUUAUUGGGCGUAAAGGGCUCGUAGGCGGUUUGUCGCGUCGGGAGUGAAAACUCAGGGCUUAACCCUGAGCCUGCUUCCGAUACGGGCAGACUAGAGGUAUGCAGGGGAGAACGGAAUUCCUGGUGUAGCGGUGGAAUGCGCAGAUAUCAGGAGGAACACCGAUGGCGAAGGCAGAUCUCUGGGCCAUUACUGACGCUGAGGAGCGAAAGCGUGGGGAGCGAACAGG
rnacentral:rRNA from 1 species